GCAAAACAGUACCUGCUGAUAAUGAUAUGGAUGCCCACUGGACAUAGGCAGCAUCAGGUGGCUUACUUCAUGUGAUGUAUCAGCUCUGCUCCAGCUCUGGACUCGCUGUUCUCCAUGGGUUGAACACAGAGAGGAUUCAGACUCUAAUGCCAACAGAGCACGCCUUUCCUUGUCUCUGGAUGUCAGUCUGACAGUAGAUUUGUGUCCUGCCUGAUGUGAUGCCUGCAUGUGUUAGAGACAUAAGACUCUAACAUAAAGCUACAUCAAGAUUUGGAAAGUUUUAAGAAAAUCAAAUGACUUCCCCCCCUCC
ensembl:lncRNA